rnacentral:lncRNA from 1 species
UUCUGCCAUUGGAUAACUCUUCACUGGGAAGACUUCCAGCAACACAGCAGCACUCUGAAGGGCGUUUUUCUCUUGCUCUCAGUUUUGUGCUUUACCACCUUAUGAUCUUUUAUUUUUUUUUUUAUUUUUUGGUUGGUAGGAGAGCAACAGCAAAAACUGUGCAAGGAAUAGCAAACACAAGAGGCAUGGGCCAAGGGAUCUCACUGUGUGUUCGAUGUGUAUUUUCAGAUGCAAGAAAGGAAUGUUGGCGAAGAGGAAACGUGUGUUUUUUUAUUAUUGUAGGGUAAACCUGACGAUUCUGAACUUUGCGAAUUGUCAGCUUGUUUGGGGGAAGGGCGGGUGGGUAUGAGGGGUACUUUUUAUAAGUAAUAUUUAAUUUAUUAUUUAGAAGUGGCUUCUUUUUGGAUAAUUUAUGAUACAAAGGGAGAUACAGUUGGGAUCUAGGCAUGGCUGUUAAAGCUGAAGUGUUUUGUAUCUCAGAAGGACCGUUUUAGAAACGGACUGUCCAAUGCUGAGCCUGAGGGAAUGAACAUCCAGGCCAAGCAAAGCCUUCACUAAAAAUUCCACCAUCUCCACCUUCUCCCUAUCGAGGGUUUCAAAGAUGAUAACACCAAACCUAAAGUAACUCGGAUAGCAUUUUCCAAACCAGUGCUAUUCAUUCUUUCCAAGGGCUUUGCAACUCAAACUAUUAGUGUGAUAGUGAUGUGUUUAUUUGGUAGAAAUGGGUAUACUACAGCUUUAAUAGCCUUAGUGGAAAGAGAAACUUUUUGUUGUUACAAAACACUUUUUUUUUCAUAGAAAGGUGUUUUGAGCCUACAAAGAGUCUCUUGGAAUUGUCAGACUCUAGCAUUGUUAACCAAAUUAGAGUAGUGAUUGCAAUAUUUAAGUGUAAAUGUUGUUCUAUGAGAAAGGAAGCUUGCUUACAGUUUAAAACACGAUGACUGUUUCUACACACGAACUUGUAUACCACUACACAAGGAAAAGGGGGUUUUGUAAUCACUGUAGAACAGUCUCCUAUUCAUUUUUUAUAGAAAUGUUAUUCCAAUGGUGCAUUUUUUUGUUUAAUAAAUAAAGUUUUGAU